rnacentral:rRNA from 1 species
UACGGGAGGGGGCUAGCGUUGUUCGGAAUUAGCGUGGGCGUAAAGCGCAGCGUAGGCGGCUUGUAAGUUACGAGGUAGGAAAGCCCGGGGCUCAACUCCGGAAUUGCCUUUAAGACGUAGCAUCGGCUAGAAUUGUGGAGAGGUAAGUGGAAUUCCGAGUGUAGAGGUGAAAUUCGUAGAUAUUCGGAAGAACACCAGUGGCGAAGGCGACUUACUGGACACAUAUUGA